UAGUUUCUGAACAUCACCCACGGAGCAGUUACUCUGCUGCCUCCCUGCUCCCGCUCUCUAUGGCAACCAUUAUUCUGUGUUCUCUCUCUCUCUCUGGAUUUGCCCGUUGUGGAUACUUCCUAUCAGUAGACCCAUACGGCUGCGUGUGGUCUUUUGCGUCUUUCUGAGCCCAGCUCCUGGCUAUACCAGUUGUUGGAGGAGAUGGCUUGCGUUGGAAGCCUCAUGAUUAUUGAAUGAUGCCUACAGUGAACUUUAACACAAAGACAGUAGAGAAAACCCUCCUGACUGAAGCUGAUGCCUCUUGUACUGAAGUUCCAGAGCCUACGGGGCCUUCCAGGAAAUUCUAACAAGUGAAGGAAAUCAGGGAUUGUACAAACACACGCAAUACCAGCAAACGGAGCAGAGACUGGAGAGAGAAACACAAGGGGAGGAGAGCUGAAAGAAGUCAAGUUCACUGACAGGAGGGUACGCACCACAAUGCCUGGCCAUUGUGAGGAUCUUGAGGGUCACUUAAGGGAGGGUUGACUGAUGUGCUAAUGUCUGCGCUCCGGAUUUUCUUGUGCUUCAUCCUGAUGUCGGACCAGUGACCAUUUGUAAACUUUUAGGGGCCGGAAGAGAGAAGGUGGAAUGCGGAAGGAGCAGGCAUGCUGACCUGGCGAUGGUGCUCUGUGGAGGAACUCGGGGCUAGGGCUUUGGAGCUGCAAGUCAUCCUGAUACUUCAAGCAGACGUUAGCAACGCACGGUCGGCAGCACAAAGGCCUUGUGGGUACAAAUCAAGAAAUUAAGAAUGCAGAAUAAAAGAUCCUAAGACUGGAGUGGCUAUUUCAGCUUCAAGUAUGACUUCCUGAAGAGACUCCUGGGAACAUCAUGCCUUGCAUUACAGCUACUGAUCUCAACUAUUAAAGAGGGUGCAGUCAUGUUUCUGUCA